rnacentral:tRNA from 1 species
GCCUGGGUGGUUCAGUCGGUUAAGCAUCUGACUUUGGCUCAGGUCAUGAUCUCACGGUUUGUGGGUUUGAGCGCCACCCUGGGCU